rnacentral:rRNA from 2 species
AGACCCGAAACCCGGUGAUCUAGCCAUGGGCAGGUUGAAGGUUGGGUAACACUAACUGGAGGACCGAACCGACUAAUGUUGAAAAAUUAGCGGAUGACCUGUGGCUGGGGGUGAAAGGCCAAUCAAACCGGGAGAUAGCUGGUUCUCCCCGAAAGCUAUUUAGGUAGCGCCUCGUGAAUUCAUCUCCGGGGGUAGAGCACUGUUUCGGCUAGGGGGCCAUCCCGGCUUACCAACCCGAUGCAAACUGCGAAUACCGGAGAAUGUUAUCACGGGAGACACACGGCGGGUGCUAACGUCCGUCGUGAAGAGGGAAACAACCCAGACCGCCAGCUAAGGUCCCAAAGUCAUGGUUAAGUGGGAAACGAUGUGGGAAGGCCCAGACAGCCAGGAUGUUGGCUUAGAAGCAGCCAUCAUUUAAAGAAAGCGUAAUAGCUCACUGGUCGAGUCGGCCUGCGCGGAAGAUGUAACGGGGCUAAACCAUGCACCGAAGCUGCGGCAGCGACACUCAGGUGUUGUUGGGUAGGGGAGCGUUCUGUAAGUCUGCGAAGGUGGCCUGUGAGGGUUGCUGGAGGUAUCAGAAGUGCGAAUGCUGACAUAAGUAACGAUAAAGCGGGUGAAAAGCCCGCUCGCCGGAAGACCAAGGGUUCCUGUCCAACGUUAAUCGGGGCAGGGUGAG